GUUGCCUUAACAUGCAAGUCGAACGGCAGCGGGGGAAAGCUUGCUUUCCUGCCGGCGAGUGGCGAACGGGUGAGUAAUACAUCGGAACGUGCCCUGUAGUGGGGGAUAACUAGUCGAAAGAUUAGCUAAUACCGCAUACGACCUGAGGGUGAAAGUGGGGGACCGCAAGGCCUCAUGCUAUAGGAGCGGCCGAUGUCUGAUUAGCUAGUUGGUGGGGUAAAGGCCUACCAAGGCGACGAUCAGUAGCUGGUCUGAGAGGACGAUCAGCCACACUGGGACUGAGACACGGCCCAGACUCCUACGGGAGGCAGCAGUGGGGAAUUUUGGACAAUGGGCGAAAGCCUGAUCCAGCAAUGCCGCGUGUGUGAAGAAGGCCUUCGGGUUGUAAAGCACUUUUGUCCGGAAAGAAAUGGCUCUGGUUAAUACCCGGAGUUGAUGACGGUACCGGAAGAAUAAGGACCGGCUAACUACGUGCCAGCAGCCGCGGUAAUACGUAGGGUCCAAGCGUUAAUCGGAAUUACUGGGCGUAAAGCGUGCGCAGGCGGUUGUGCAAGACCGAUGUGAAAUCCCCGGGCUUAACCUGGGAAUUGCAUUGGUGACUGCACGGCUAGAGUGUGUCAGAGGGAGGUAGAAUUCCACGUGUAGCAGUGAAAUGCGUAGAGAUGUGGAGGAAUACCGAUGGCGAAGGCAGCCUCCUGGGAUAACACUGACGCUCAUGCACGAAAGCGUGGGGAGCAAACAGGAUUAGAUACCCUGGUAGUCCACGCCCUAAACGAUGUCAACUAGUUGU
rnacentral:rRNA from 1 species